rnacentral:rRNA from 1 species
CAAGCAAAUCCCAUAAAGUUGUUCUCAGUUCGGAUUGUAGUCUGCAACUCGACUACAUGAAGCUGGAAUCGCUAGUAAUCGUAGAUCAGCAUGCUACGGUGAAUACGUUCCCGGGUCUUGUACACACCGCCCGUCACACCACGAGAGUUUGUAACACCCGAAGCCGGUGGAGUAACCUUUUAGGAGCUAGCCGUCGAAGGUGGGACAAAUGAUUGGGGUGAAGUCGUAACAAGGUAGCCGUAUCGGAAGGUGCGGCUGGAUCACCUCCUUU